rnacentral:rRNA from 1 species
CCUACGGGAGGCAGCAGUGGGGAAUAUUGCACAAUGGGGGAAACCCUGAUGCAGCGACGCCGCGUGAGUGAAGAAGUAUUUCGGUACGUAAAGCUCUAUCAGCAGGGAAGAAAAUGACGGUACCUGACUAAGAAGCCCCGGCUAACUACGUGCCAGCAGCCGAGGUAAUACGUAGGGGGCAAGCGUUAUCCGGCUUUACUGGUUGUAAAGGGAGCGUAGACGGCAGCGCAAGUCUGGAGUGAAAUCCCAUGGCUUAACCAUGGAACUGCUUUGGAAACUGUGCAGCUAGAGUGCAGGAGAGGUAAGCGGAAUUCCUAGUGUAGCGGUGAAAUGCGUAGAUAUUAGGAGGAACACCAGUGGCGAAGGCGGCUUACUGGACUGUAACUGACGUUGAGGCUCGAAAGCGUGGGGAGCAAACAGGAUUAGAUACCCCAGUAGUC